UUCACAAAUGCUUCCCUAUUACAUUCCGUUCCAAUACAAAACCUAGCCUCUUGCGCUUCCUAUUUCAUGAUAAAUAAUUCUUUCGUUUAUAAGUUCGAUCACUCCACGGCAACAAAUUGUGAUUAUAUCAAGGAUAUAAUCACUUUCCUACCCCUAGUAUGUAACAAAUCAUUAUGAACAAAACGCAAGAGACUUAUUAUAACGUAAACAUAUUGAGAGUAUUAGUACGAGUAAAGUGAAAAAUUAUAACUUGCAGUGAUUUUCAUGUAAUGUAAAAUAAUGCACACAGCACACUGCCAAAUAUUAUACUUGUCUGUGACGCAAUAAAAGUUACUCUGUUAAAAAAAAUAACCUUUUGUCUUUUAUUGUUUGUGGUGCAAUACUGCAUAAAGUUUUUCCGACUAAAAACAAAAACAAACUUUUGAAACUUUCUUCUAGCCAUAACAUUAAAAGAAAUGCCUUUAUGUGAAAACUGCCAUAUUGAGUAAAUAUUUACUUACUAAUCGCAAAGACAAACAACAAAACUUAAUGUUUUUCCAAGACAAACAUAAAAGAACAGAAAACUUGCUGCCUGACACCUAACAAGAAGAGAUGAAGCAAAAUCUAACAUCCUGGUCACGGCACCAAAUUGUAACGUUUCGCCCUACCUCCUGCCUACUUAACUCCUACCUAAUGGAUUUACUAAAAAGAUAUUUGAAACUACAGAACUAAAAUACUUUGAGUGAAAUAAGAGUGAAACAAAUACUGCUUUAGAUUGGCCAUGAAACAUCUAGGGAACCCCUACGUUGUGUGUUGUAACCCAAUAAACGAAAGAUAGUGAAUUAAAUAAAACUAUGACCUAGAACUGAUUACAUACUUC